rnacentral:tRNA from 1 species
UCCCAGGUGGCCUAGUGGUUAAGGAUUCCAGCAUUGUCACUGCUGUAGUUUGGGUUCGAUCCCUGGCCCAGGAA